AUUCAGGGAGCACCAAGAAGCAGACCAGAGGUCUCCUAAGCUUGACUCCUCUUCGGCAUGAGACUAAGGAAGCUCCCCAAGUUCCAGUCAGAGGUCUGAAUUUGUGAAUUUGCUGAGGCUGAUAGGACAGUGUGGGCUGUCCCUGAAAGUUGGAGGAGGUGACAACAAGGUUGGGGGCCUUCCAUAUGGGUGCCUGCUGUACCACAUAUCCAGUAAAAACAGAACAUUUACGAAUGCUGGAAAAAGGUCUCGUUUGUAAUGAGCAGUGGAGUGUGACAGCCUCUGACUGUUUCUUUGACCAUAUAUAGGAAUGAUCACCGUGAUAAUAACAGCAGUGACAACAAUCCCCGGAUAUUGGGCUUUUCAUUUCCAAGAGAGAGUAAGUAUUAACUAAACAGCUUCGAAACCCCCAUGAAGUGUUUAUUAUACCCGAAUCCCCAUUUCACCAACAGUAAGGAGGAUAUUUUAGAAGCCUUUUUUUUUUUUUUUUUGAGUCAGAGUCUCGCUCUGUUGCUCAGGCUGGAGUGCAGUGGGCGAUCUCGGCUCACUACAAGCUCCGCCUCCCAGGUUCACGCCAUUCUCCUGCCUCAGCCUCCCGAGUACCUGGGACUACAGGCGCCUGCCACCAUGCCCAUCUAAAUUUUUUUGUAUUUUUAGUAGAGACAGGAUUUCAUCGUGUUAGCCAGGAUGGUCUCGAUCUCUUGACCUCGUGAUCCGCCUGCCUCGGCCUCCCAAAGUGCUGGGAUUACAGGCGUGAGCCACCGCGCCUGGCCUAGAAGCUUUAAGCCACGUACUUUUCAAGCUUUAUCUGAGGCUGGCACUUGGAUGACUUCAAUGAUGUUCUUUCCCCACAAGGAGGUGAGCAGGAGUGAGGAUAAAGACAUGGAGAGAUAAUGCAGACGACCACGUUCUCUUGGCCAUACUGAACUGAUGUCCGAGAGCAGGCCUUGGCAAACUUCCUCUGGGAAGGGCCACAGUAAAUAUUUUAGGCCUUCCAUUCCAUAUGGUCUCACUGCGCUUCAACUCUGCCAUUGUAAGCUUGAAAGCGGCCAUAGAUAAAAGUAAAUGAAUGAGUAUGGCUGAGUUCCAAUAAAACUUUAUUUAUGGACACUGAAAUUUGAAUUUCAUGCUGUUUUUCACAUGUCACAAAAUAGUCUUCUUUCAUUUUCUCCCAACCAUUUAAAUGUGUAAAAACCAUUUUUGUCUCGCAGGCUGGAUGUGGCCUAUGGGCCAUAGUUUGCCUGCCCUGCCCCAGAGAACAGAAUUAACCACCAGUAGCAUCAGAGGCUAACACUGUUCAAGGGUUUUGCCCUCUUUAGAGCUCAAACAGCAGGGAUAAUUUCCACCUUGAGAGACAUCUCUCCAGAGCUCUUCUGCAAAAACUGUUCUUAUUUUACAAACAUGAAAACAUUGAAAAUCAAAAUUAAAUGGAAAAAUUCAUCUCCAACAGCAUCUCUUCCCAAUCAGUCUUCAAAUUUCAUUUCAAUCUUUGUCCAUAUGCAUGACAUUUUUAUACCAUUUUAAUCCUAUUAUAGACACAGUGUUUUAGUUUGCUUUUUUUCACUUAACGUUAUCUUGUAAAAUUCUUCCCUGUUGUGACUGAUUUCUUCUAAUCAGACAUAUCAUAAUUUUUUGUGGAAUUUUUUUGUGGAAGAUUUCCAUGCUAUUUGUUGGACUUAAUUAAAAGGGAUGUCUUAGUGUCUUCUCAAGUGUAACAGUUAAGAUGCAAAUGCUACCACCUUGCCCUCAAGCCAGGAAACCUGGGAAAACCCACUUGGUAGACUGGAGCCUCACACACCUCCCCCAGGAUUCACUUCCUUUUGGACAAUGGCUUUAGCAAAUCUGGCAUUUUAAUUCAUUUGCCUCUUGAUGUGCCUUCCAGACAAACUCUUUAGAGCUCUUUGCUCUGAAAGAGCUCUCUGUUCCACAUACACCCUAGAAUUUAUGUUGAACUUGGAUGGAGGUUUGGGGAGACUAAUCACACAUCUCCUUUCAUUACAGUUUUUAACCAGGAAAUACAGAAAGAGUUAGAUGAGGAUCAGUUUUCUUGCUGGAUUAGAGAACUUGGUAGGUCCCCAUUAGUCCCUUGCCUCACACCUGCUGAGACCCUCUGGAUGGUGACUGACUCAUCCAGUCACAUGUGGAGAAAGAAGAGGUUGGGUUUGCCCCUUCACUGUUCCAUGGGCUGGGCCUCUGGAGAGGGAGAGGUGAGGGACAUACUUUAAGUUGGUUCCUUUCUUUCCUCUCCACAAAGGGGGGUGACACUGUUUGAGGGACCACAGGGCUCACCUUCCCUUCCUUUCUCUUUGCUUUCAGAAUAGGAAGCACAUGCAUUUGGCCAGGAAGAAGACUUCAGCUAUUGAUGGGAGGGCCCUCUUUCUAGAAGGCAGAGAACAAUGGACUAGCCAGACAGGAAGGAGAGAGGCCCAGAGCGCAGUAAGGAGUGGGCAUCUGGGACCCAGGGUUGGGAAGAACACUUCUGUUUGGCUUCCUUCCUCUUCUAGGGCAUGGCUAAGGUGGCCAACCUGCAUGCACCCCAGAAGAGGAAGAUAAGUAGGCCCAUGGGACUUUAUUAUGGAGCCUGAGGCUUUCACUGGCCUGAUUAAUCCAUUUUCUGGGAAUGAGCACUUUGGGAGGAUAACAAUCAAAGGAUCCCCAGAGGACACGUGACAGGCUGGGGCCAUCAGAACUACUGAUCCGUGGGUACUAUCCGGCUUACUGAAUUAUGAAACACAGGUUAAAUUAAGGGUUGUCACACAUUUGGCUAAUUGGCCAAUAAGAACAGCAAUUAAUAGAGGUCAGGCAAUUCAACUGCAUCUGUGGCCAUGACUAUCAGAGCCCUUGGAAACAGCAGUGAUUUCAAGUGAAAUCUAAAUCAGCAGUGUUUCAGGUGACCUAGAGCAGGGCCCACGGCCCAUAGCCCAUAUGUUAGCACUUCCUGAAGGUUUUCUUCCACCCAAAUCCACAUGUUGGGACCCAGGGGAAGGUGUAGCAAAGCCAGUGACCACUGUGUAAUCUUUGUUUUUUCUAUUUGACACUUUGUCAAAAAACACAUUCCUGUUUUCAUAGACUUCUUUUGAUUUUGAGAAAUUUAAAAGAUACAGAAAAGUAUGAAGAAUGUAAAGACACUAUAUUCCCACCACUAGACAUAAGAACUAGUAAUAUUUUGUACCAUCUCCUGCUAGCCUCUGCCCUCCUUCUAAGAAAUGAAACUACCACCCAUUUCUCAUUCCCCAUCCCCGGGCACAGCAAUGUUCAUGGGUUUGGUCGGUUUGUAUGUUUGGUAUCAUUUUAGAUACUUUGAUAUUCAUCUUAUAUCGAUAUAACAAAUAUACUACACUUUUAUGUGUAUAUGAAUAUUUAAAUAUAUAACAGAUAAAAACACAUGCCAUUUGUAAAUAUGCCAUGUAAAAACUGAUGGUGCUUAAUAAAUAUUUGUUGAAUGUCCAUCUAUAAACAAUGUAUUUGUGUGUUUUUAAUGUACAUGGUAUCAUACAAUUUUUAUCAUUCUGCAUAAUCCUCUCUUCACUUAAUAAUUGUAUUUGAAAUCUAUAAUUGUGACUCUUUCUCUCUAUAUAUGUAUAUAUAUACACACACAUAUAUAUGUAUAUAUAUACACACACAUAUAUGUGUAUAUAUAUACACACACAUAUAUGUAUAUAUAUACACACAUAUAUAUGUAUAUAUACACACACAUAUAUAUGUAUGUGUAUAUACACAUGUGUAUAUAUAUAUCUAUAUGCUUGGUUUAUGUCUCUUAACUGCUGCAUAAUAUUGCACUGUAUGAAUAUGGAGGAUUUUAAUUAUUCAUUUCUCCAUGGGUGGAUACUUAGUUUUCUUCCAGUUUUUUGGCUGUUGAAUAAAGAAUGCUGCAGUGAA